ACGCACGCUGGCGGCAGGCUUCACCCCUGCCAGUCGAACGCACCUUUCGGGGUGAGUGGCAGACGGGUGAGUAACGCGUGGGAAUCUACCCUUCUCUACGGGAUAGCUCCGGGAAACUGGAAUUAAUACCGUAUACGUCCUGAGGGAGAAAGAUUUAUCGGGGAAGGAUGAGCCCGCGUUGGAUUAGCUAGUUGGUGGGGUAAAGGCCUACCAAGGCGACGAUCCAUAGCUGGUCUAAGAGGAUGAUCAGCCACAUUGGGACUGAGACACGGCCCAAACUCCUACGGGAGGCAGCAGUGGGGAAUAUUGGACAAUGGGCGCAAGCCUGAUCCAGCCAUGCCGCGUGAGUGAUGAAGGCCCUAGGGUUGUAAAGCUCUUUCAGUGGGGACGAUAAUGACGGUACCCACAGAAGAAGCCCCGGCUAACUUCGUG
rnacentral:rRNA from 1 species